CCAGAGAUGACUGUUCAUGGGGAUGGGGAAUAUGUUCUCAUCAUGUGCUCUCUGCCUGGAUCUGUGAAAAUCGAUACAAGAUGUAAUCUGUACUUUGGAGAAGCAAGUCGUCCAGUCUAAAGUCAACCUGUCUUAAAGAAAAGCAGCACAAAAACCAAUCAGAGGUUCUGACAGUUUUAUGUCUCAGUUGCUGAUUUUUUGAGACAUCGACUUCUUGUUCAACAAAAGGAUGCCAGCUGUGAUUACACUUUGGAAAAUGAACCCAACUCUUUAUCACCUCGCAGUGAAAGAAAGAACAUGAAAGAUAUUUUGGAGAAAGAAUCACCAACAACCAAAGUGAACUCACCAUGUACCAUGACCACAGAAGAAGUCUCAAGAAAGAUAAACACAAAAUCAUGAUUUACCUUGACCACAGCAGAAUUGAGUCUCAGCAGUUUCAGUGCUUCCACUUCUACCACUUCUGUCAUCUCACCAUCAGGAAUGAGGACACUGACUGUUGUGCUGGUCGUCGUUGGUUCUGGUGUAACUGUGGGUGCCAUCUUAUUGGUACUGGCACUUUUCAGAUCUAAAAGAAGAACUGGCGAAAUCUCAAUCAGUUAAUAUGUGAAAGUGUGCAGAU